rnacentral:rRNA from 1 species
AGUUCUGGUGUCAGCCGCCGCGGUAAAACCAGCACCUCAAGUGGUCAGGAUGAUUAUUGGGCCUAAAGCAUCCGUAGCCGGCUCUGUAAGUUUUCGGUUAAAUCCACGUGCUCAACGCAUGGGCUGCCGAAAAUACUGCACAGCUAGGGAGUGGGAGAGGUAGACGGUACUCAAUAGGAAGGGGUAAAAUCCUUUGAUCUAUUGAUGACCACCUGUGGCGAAGGCGGUCUACCAGAACACGUUCGACGGUGAGGGAUGAAAGCUGGGGGAGCAAACCGGAUUAGAUACCCGGGUAGUCCCAGCUGUAAACGAUGCAGACUCGAUGAUGCAUUGGCAUAUAGCCAGUGCAGUGUCGCAGGGAAGCCGUUAAGUCUGCCGCCUGGGAAGUACGUACGCAAGUAUGAAACUUAAAGGAAUUGGCGGGGGAGCACCACAA